UACAGAGGUCUCAAGCGUUGUUCGGAUUCAUUGGGCGUAAAGGGUGUGUAGGUGGCGCGCUAAGUCGGGUGUGAAAUUUCGGAGCUUAACUCCGAAACUGCAUUCGAUACUGCUGUGCUUGAGGACUGGAGAGGAGACUGGAAUUUACGGUGUAGCAGUGAAAUGCGUAGAGAUCGAUAAGGAAGACCAGUGGCGAAGGCGGGUCUCUGGAC
rnacentral:rRNA from 1 species